CAUCCCAGCUGUGCUUGAAGACAAAACGUGGCUCAAAAAAUGUGUUAAUUUUUUGCUGGGGUUUUGCAUAGUUUGCAAACACUGUUUGACCAGGAGUUCUAACUCAUCAGGUUUUAGGUAUCUAAUAAUAGCCAAGAAUCUCCUGUCUGAUCAGACUUGGGAAUGAGGAACUGAGACGUGCCUGCAAUCAGGAGGCUGGAUGCACUCCAUCAGUCCUUGAAUGGCAUCCUUCUGACAAGCUGUGUGUUUUCAUGAGUUAGGUGACACGUGUACAGAAGAAGACAGGACAGCAGCCUGUGCUGCUAUGAACCAGCGAGCUGAAUGCAGUGGAGUUGUUCCAACUGAUUUUGUGUGAAGAGCCAACCCAGACUGUUUCAUUUGGGAAAGCCAAGUACUCUAAUGAAACAAAUAAUUUCAUGUUGCAUGAAUUUGACAAUCAAGGACUCCCUCUUUCCAGAUGCUAUGAUCCCAUGGUAACAUGUGAGGAUGUAUGACUGAAUGGUUUUGCUAAGUCAUUUCUAUUUAAAAAGGGAAGAAGAGAUUGGGAUGAACGUACCUGAAAGCAGCAGGUUUAAAUACUACGCAAGCAUGGAAGAGGCACGCUAAAUGGAAAAAGGUCUUUGUGGGCUAUCAGCUGCUCCUUUUGCCUUCUCAAAAGCUUCUAGCAGGUUUAUCUGACCACAAAGAUCAAAAGCUGUCAUGGUGCACUGAAAAAAAUGCAUUCUACCUGCACUGUACCUGUAAUUCAGGACUGGGAACUGGUCCACAUUUACCUGACAUGUAAGUGGCUUUGAACCUUUCUCUGUAUAUCUUAUUCAAACAGUAUAAAGGAACUGUUGUUUCCACGCAGAGGGCUGAGAUUUUCAGAAUAGAGCGCUAGAGCUGUGCUACGAGCAUCGUACUGCAGAAACCAUUUCAGCAGUUUCAGUACAUGCAUGAAACACUCAUUUGUCCUGUUGUUUUACACUUACAACUUCACUUGUUGUUCCAGAAUGUUUUCAAGUGACUAAGUUCACACCUAAUCAAUUAGAAUAAUUUUCACUAAAGUCUCUAAAUUUCUGAAGG